AACCUUAUGGACCUGCGGGCGUAUACCUGCGGAAGGAUCAUUAACCUUUCAAAUCAGGGUGCGGCGCGGCCCCCGGGGAGCGGAAACAAUCCUUGGGAGGUAUGCGGGGGCUUCGAGCCCCCCAUUUACGCACGCACGACUGCCAUCCUUACUUUACGAGCACCUUCUGUUCUCCCUCGGCGGGGCAACCUGCCGUUGGAACCGAAUAAACUCUUUUUGCAUCUAGCAUUACCUGUUCCG
rnacentral:misc_RNA from 1 species